GCGUAGGAAUCUACCUAGUAGUACGGAAUAGCCAUUAGAAAUGGUGGGUAAUACUGUAUAAUCCCCGAGGGGGAAAGAUUUAUCGCUAUUAGAUGAGCCUACGUUAGAUUAGCUAGUUGGUGAGGUAAUGGCUUACCAAGGCUAUGAUCUAUAGCUGGUCUGAGAGGACGAUCAGCCACACUGGAACUGAGAUACGGUCCAGACUCCUACGGGAGGCAGCAGUGGGGAAUAUUGGACAAUGGGCGAAAGCCUGAUCCAGCUAUGCCGCGUGAGUGAAGAAGGCCUUCGGGUUGUAAAGCUCUUUCAAUAGGGAAGAUAAUGACGGUACCUAUAA
rnacentral:rRNA from 1 species